GGGGACGCUCGGGCCGCAGGAGGUCGCUGGGUCGUGAGCUGGCGCCGGGGACGCCGAGCGACUGCGGGGUUUCCCUCAGCGUCCUGCUAUCCGGCUGCCCGCCGCGCUCCUUGGUAGUGUCCGUGGGCGCGCAGGCCUUGAAGAACCUCCUCGUGGCGGGACCCCGAGCGCAGGAGAGGUGUCAAAGAGCUGGCGCGUCUCCAGAGCCCCGGGAGGAAGGCUGUAACGGCAGCCCCAUCGUAGACAGGGACAUUCGCAUCCCGAGCCCUGGAUCUCUGAAAACCAGCCCAGAAUUUGGAAGCUGGAAGGAACUUUAGAUCGUCCAUUCUGAGUGUCUCUCUUCGCUGGCGUUUUCCCACUGAGGUUAUGUAAACAUGAAGAGGAGCCUACAAGUGUCAAGGAAAAAACGACAGCUAACCACAGGGCAGGCCAUGGGCAAGAUAUCUCAGUGUUCUCCGCUCUCAUAGGUCAGAGUGAGACUCACCUAGGCUGGACUGCAAUGGUGCAAUCUCGGCUCACUGCAACCUCCGCCUCUCAUGUUCAAGCCAUUCUCCUGCCUCAGCUUUCCGAAUCGCUGGGAUUACAGGUCACGACCCCCAGGAGACCUGGAGGACUGAAUGCUGCUGCCCCCAAGGAGGAGGCUGCCGUCUUAUCCCAGGAGGGAGAGCAGGUGAAGUCCCCAGGGGAGGAAGCACCUAGCCCCAUUCCUGCUGAGCAGGAGGUGGCAGGUACCCCAGACUGGGAGGUAAGGACAGCCCGGGGCUUCGACUGAACGUCUCCAGCGUGGGUCCAACUGAGCAGCCAUGGAGCACUGCAGAGUGGGAGGCAGCAGGGCAGGGAGGCAGUGCUGGAGGCUGGCUCAACCCCAAGACCAGCAGGCCAAGCUGCCAUCCCAGGGGAGCGAGGACGUCUGUGCAGAGCUGAGAGGCAGCAGCCAUGUGUGAACAGACUGGGCCUCAUCCUGGCCCCACCGACUUUGUGUGGACAGAGCCUGUUUCCCUGUCUGUGCAACACAGAACCUGCCUGAUCUCACUGCUGGAUCCCUCUUCUUCCUGCCAGGAAAAUAAAAAGGUUCAAAAGGAAGUUGCUGCGUAUCCAUCUGAGGCCUCUGAGGACAGCAAAGAGCAAAGGCCCUGGGACCGGGUCUACGUGCCCAUGACAGAGCUCUGGCUGGACUGGUUCUGAGCCUCUAACACCCCCAAGACUCAGAACCGUGAAGAAAAUCUUUCCAAUAAAUCCAAGAGUUGCUGCUGCUAUAGGCCAGGCUGCCACCUUUCGGGGCCUCCGUCUUCAGACAAACCCAGCCUGGCUUCAUCCACACUCCCUGUCCCCACAGCUGCAGGAACAGCACUUCCUGCCACCGAGCCGUGUGACCACAGUGGAUUGUCUCUGGAGGGGCCCAAGGGGGCCCUGGCCACCCUUCUGACUGACUCGGUGCCAGGGGACAGACCAACGUCCCUCUCGUGCUGACAGCCGGGCCGCACCCUGGCAUGAGGGCAUUUACAGAAAUGCUGGCGGAACUGCUGCCAGGGAGGCUGUAGGGUCCUCUGGCAAAAGAGGCCUCAGGUGGCUCCUCAGA
ensembl:lncRNA NDUFA6-DT NDUFA6 divergent transcript